rnacentral:rRNA from 1 species
UACGUAGGGGGCUAGCGUUGUCCAGAUUUAUUGGGCGUAAAGGAGCGUGUAGGCGGCCAGGUAGGUCGUGGUGUGAAAACUCGAGGCUUAACCUCGAAGAUGUCAUCGGAAACCAUCUGGCCUAGAGUCCGGUAAGAGGGAGAAUGGGAAUUCCUGGUGUAGCGGUGAAAUGCGCAGAUAUCAGGAAGAACACCCGUGGCGAAGGCGGUUCAUCUGGGACGGUACUGGACGCUGAGACGCGAAAGCGUGGGAGCGAAC